rnacentral:rRNA from 1 species
UACGGAAGGCAGCAGUGGGGAAUAUUGGACAAUGGGCGAAAGCCUGAUCCAGCAAUGCCGCGUGAGUGAUGAAGGCCUUAGGGUUGUAAAGCUCUUUUACCAGGGAUGAUAAUGACAGUACCUGGAGAAUAAGCUCCGGCUAACUCCGUGCCAGCAGCCGCGGUAAUACGGAGGGAGCUAGCGUUGUUCGGAAUUACUGGGCGUAAAGCGCGCGUAGGCGGUUACUCAAGUCAGAGGUGAAAGCCCGGGGCUCAACCCCGGGAACUGCCUUUUGAAACUAGGUGACUAGAAUCUUGGAGAGGUCAGUGGAAUUCCGAGUGUAGAGGUGAAAUUCGUAGAUAUUCGGAAGAACACCAGUGGCGAAGGCGACUGACUGGACAAGCAUUGACGCUGAGGGUGCGAAAGCGUGGGGAGCAAACAGGGAUUAGAUACCCGU